rnacentral:rRNA from 1 species
GACGAACGCUGGCGGCGUGCUUAACACAUGCAAGUCGAACGGAAAGGCCCUGCUUUUGUGGGGUGCUCGAGUGGCGAACGGGUGAGUAACACGUGAGUAACCUGCCCUUGACUUUGGGGUAACUUCAGGAAACUGGGGCUCAUACCGGAUAGGAGCUCCUGCUGCAUGGUGGGGGUUGGAAAGUUUCGGCGGUUGGGGAUGGACUCGCGGCUUAUCAGCUUGUUGGUGGGGUAGUGGCUUACCAAGGCUUUGACGGGUAGCCGGCCUGAGAGGGUGACCGGCCACAUUGGGACUGAGAUACGGCCCAGACUCCUACGGGAGGCAGCGGUGGGGAAUAUUGCACAAUGGGCGGAAGCCUGAUGCAGCAACGCCGCGUGCGGGAUGACGGCCUUCGGGUUGUAAACCGCUUUCGCCUGUGACGAAGCGAGAGUGACGGUAAUGGGUAAAGAAGCACCGGCUAGCUACGUG